rnacentral:rRNA from 1 species
AGCGAACGCUGGCGGCAGGCUUAACACAUGCAAGUCGAACGGUCCUUCGGGAUAGUGGCGGACGGGUGAGUAACACGUGGGAACGUACCCUUAGGUUCGGAACAACACAGGGAAACUUGUGCUAAUACCGGAUAAGCCCCUCGGGGGAAAGAUUUAUCGCCUUUGGAGCGGCCCGCGUCUGAUUAGCUUGUUGGUGAGGUAAUGGCUCACCAAGGCUACGAUCAGUAGCUGGUCUGAGAGGAUGGCCAGCCACGCUGGGACUGAGACACGGCCCAGACUCCUACGGGAGGCAGCAGUGGGGAAUCUUGCGCAAUGGGCGAAAGCCUGACGCAGCCAUGCCGCGUGGAUGAUGAAGGUCUUAGGAAUGUAAAAUCCUUUCACCGGGGACGAUAAUGACGGUACCCGGAGAAGAAGCCCCGGCUAACUUCGUGCCAGCCGCCGCAGUAA